UACGUAGGGUGCGAGCGUUAAUCGGAAUACUGGGCGUAAAGCGUGCGCAGGCGGUUUUGUAAGCCAGAUGUGAAAAGCCCCCGGGCUUAACCCUGGGAAUGGCAUUUUGGGGACUGCAAGGCUUGAGUGCGGCAGAGGAGACUGGAAAUUCCUGGGUGUAGCAGUGAAAAUGCGUAGAUAUCAGGAGGAAUACCGAUGCGGAAGGC
rnacentral:rRNA from 1 species